UACGUAGGAGGCAAGCGUUGUCCGGAUUUAUUGGGCGUAAAGAGCGUGUAGGCGGCUAUACAGGUCCGCUGUGAAAACUCGAGGCUCAACCUCGAGACGUCGGUGGAAACCGUAUGGCUAGAGUCCGGAAGAGGAGAGUGGAAUUCCUGGUGUAGCGGUGAAAUGCGCAGAUAUCAGGAAGAACACCCGUGGCGAAGGCGGCUCUCUGGGACGGUACUGACGCUGAGGAGCGAAAGCGUGGGUAGCAAACAGG
rnacentral:rRNA from 1 species